rnacentral:lncRNA from 1 species
GAGGAACCUGAUCCUCGGUAGCGAAGGGCUGGAGGCAAACACCGAGCUCCCCCUGAGCCGCUCGGGAACAGGGAGGGUUCUGCUACCCUGAGGGGCCCUCCCCGCGGGGCAGAGGGUGGGGGGAAGUCACGACAUGUACUUCUGACUCUAUGCUUGCCUUGAGGAACAAUGGCAUGACACAGGGAUGUGGACGUUUUUCAACCAGAUGCUUCGGUACAGCAGUGUCGGCACACACCCAUCCUCGCCUAUGGCCAAGGGUUUCUCGUUUCUAGAAGAUGAAAGAUGUGAUGACUUAGGAAAAAUGUGCUGUUCGAGAUGUGAGUCUUCAGAUGUUCCCGCCGCCAUAUCUGACAGCUGCUGCCAAGAUUCCCUGGUGCGAUGGACUCUUAUACCUCUACAACCAGAAGCCCAAGUAAACUCUUCUAUAAGUUGAAUGAAUCAUGCUUUAAAAAAAA